rnacentral:rRNA from 1 species
GACGAACCGUGCGAACGUUGUUCGGAAUCACUGGGCUUAAAGGGCGCGUAGGCGGGCCGCCGCGUCCGGGGUGAAAUCCCGCGGCUCAACCGCGGGGCGGCCCCCGGGUACGGGCGGCCUGGAGGGGGGGUAGGGGCGCGCGGAACUGUGGGUGGAGCGGUGAAAUGCGUUGAGAUCCACAGGAACUCCGGUGGCGAAGGCGGCGCGCUGGACCCUUCCUGACGCUGAGGCGCGAAAGCCAGGGGAGCGGAACGGG